rnacentral:rRNA from 1 species
GAUGAACGCUAGCGGGAGGCCUAACACAUGCAAGCCGAGCGGUAGAGUUUCUUCGGAAACUUGAGAGCGGCGCACGGGUGCGUAACACGUGUGCAACCUACCUUUAUCUGGGGGAUAGCCUUUCGAAAGGAAGAUUAAUACCCCAUAAUAUAAUGAUUGGCAUCAAUUAUUAUUGAAAACUCCGGUGGAUAGAGAUGGGCACGCGCAAGAUUAGAUAGUUGGUGAGGUAACGGCUCACCAAGUCAAUGAUCUUUAGGGAUCCUGAGAGGGAGAUCCCCCACACUGGUACUGAGACACUGACCAGACUCCUACGGGAGGCAGCAGUGAGGAAUAUUGGACUAUGGGUGAGAGCCUGAUCCAGCCAUCCCGCGUGAAGGAUGACGGUCCUAUGGAUUGUAAACUUCUUUUGUACAGGGAUAAACCUACCCUCGUGAGGGUGGCUGAAGGUACUGUACGAAUAAGCACCGGCUAACUCCGUG